UAGCUCAGUUGGUAGAGCAUGGUGUUUGCACCAGGGUUGUGGGUUCGAUUCCCAC
rfam:Salmo salar isolate Sally breed double haploid chromosome ssa11, whole genome shotgun sequence.